GUGAGUAACACGUGAGUAACCUGCCCUGGACUCUGGGAUAAGCGUUGGAAACGACGUCUAAUACCGGAUAGGACCCUGGACCGCAUGGUUCGGGGUGGAAAGUUUUUUCGGUCUGGGAUGGACUCGCGGCCUAUCAGCUUGUUGGUGAGGUAAUGGCUCACCAAGGCGUCGACGGGUAGCCGGCCUGAGAGGGUGACCGGCCACACUGGGACUGAGACACGGCCCAGACUCCUACGGGAGGCAGCAGUGGGGAAUAUUGCACAAUGGGCGAAAGCCUGAUGCAGCAACGCCGCGUGCGGGAUGACGGCCUUCGGGUUGUAAACCGCUUUUAGUAAGGAAGAAGGGGAGCUUGCUCCUUGACGGUACUUGCAGAAAAAGGACCGGCUAACUACGUGCCAGCAGCCGCGGUAAUACGUAGGGUCCGAGCGUUGUCCGGAAUUAUUGGGCGUAAAGAGCUCGUAGGCGGUUUGUCGCGUCUGCUGUGAAAUCUGGAGGCUCAACCUCCAGCCUGCAGUGGGUACGGGCAGACUAGAGUGCGGUAGGGGAGAAUGGAAUUCCUGGUGUAGCGGUGGAAUGCGCAGAUAUCAGGAGGAACACCGAUGGCGAAGGCAGUUCUCUGGGCCGUAACUGACGCUGAGGAGCGAAAGCGUGGGGAGCGAACAGGAUUAGAUACCCUGGUAGUCCACGCCGUAAACGUUGGGCGCUAGAUGUGGGGACCUUUCCACGGUUUCCGUGUCGUAGCUAACGC
rnacentral:rRNA from 1 species